ACCCACCAUUAUAAAUGUUUCAGAAUCAGCCAACCACCGGACCCCUCCAUUACCAAUAAAAAACCUUCCUGAUAAAUUAGAUACUGCAAGUACCUCUCCAUGCCUCUACAUCAAACUUGCAGCAAACAUAAUCCCAAGUCCAUUUCCUCUGUUACCACUGCCACCAUUAGUACUACCACAAGAAUAAAACCACUUCAAUAUCUUCUCUAAUCUCUCUUAAAUAUAGGAUCUCUUGGUAGCCAAAUGGACAAGCCUGAACUCCAAUUCCCAGCUUAGUGGAUGUGCGCUCUCAUUUAAAAGGGGAACGAUCACCAAAGCUGCCAUCAUCCUUGCCGCAUUCGUCGAGGUCCUUCCAAAUUUCUCCAUCGGUUUUGUUCCACAGGGGCUUUGGAGUUCCAAAAUUAUUGCAACUCAACUCCAAACAGUUUCAACUUCUCCAUAGAUAAUUUGAAGCCAUCUUGAUGUAUGUGCACGCGCAAACCUCUAUAAUGCCUAAGUGGCUCACGAAACAACAAUCAGAUAGUUGAACUCAAACACCAAAUGUAGAUUUCAAAUUUUGGUGACACAACUGCAUGAAGCACAUGCCAUGAUAAAUUACAAAUCAUCUUCAUAAUAGAACCACUGCAUUUGAUGAUUUAAGAAAGUUUUAAGAGGGAGACACAGACAAUAGCAUCAUAUAAUAAUAAUAAUAAAUCCAUAAAUUAUUUUAAAAUGGAGUUACUAGCUAGUACUGAUAAUCAAAUUAUCUUUUGGCGUACACAGAAAACAUACAAAUCCAAUCAACAAACAACAUCCUUGACAUCAUUUUGCAGCAUAAAAACACCACCAGAUUGGUAUAUUAAUCAUCUAUAAGACCCGUGUUUAAUUCAUCAUCGCCUGACCCUUGCAUGCAAGCGAAUCUGCACGUGUUCGAGCACUCAUCCGGUGACUUUGAGCAGCUGUUCACGCAGUCCUCGAAGCAGCCGAAGCCGCUCACCGAGACGGCAGCGAGCGCAAGGAUGGCAAUGAGGAGGAACCCAACGACAACCACACUUUCUCUCGCCAUCUUCACGAUUCCUAUUUCUCCCUUCCUUCCUCACUAGGCUGCGAGUUUUUGUAGAUCUUGGUGGUUACGCAAAUGGAGUCGUUUUCCCAUCUGGGCUGAUUAAUUGCUGUCAUUAAAUCUCGGAAUGAGUGGUUAGGAACAAUUAACUAUAAUUGUGCGAGUUGACUUGGUCAUAUAUUGGCAUCUCGUUGGCGCUAUAGGAUUAGAAACCGGCUCCUCUGCGGUGCACAUGAUGCACCAUGUUGGAUGGCCAGCUAAUAAUGCACAUGUUAUAUAUAUAUACGGCCUAUACUUUUGCGCAUAUUAUUUGUUGACC
rnacentral:lncRNA from 1 species